rnacentral:rRNA from 1 species
UACGUAGGUGGCAAGCGUUGUCCGGAUUUACUGGGCGUAAGGGCGUGCAGGCGGUUUGUUAAGUGCAGGGUGAAAGCUCCCGGCUCAACUGGGAGAGGUCCUUGCAUACUGGCAAACUCGAGGGAGGCAGAGGAAAGUGGAAUUCCCGGUGUAGUGGUGAUAUGCGUAGAUAUCGGGAGGAACACCUGUGGCGAAGGCGGCUUUCUGGGCCUUACCGUGACGCUG